CCUACGGGGGGCUGCAGUGGGGAAUAUUGGACAAUGGGGGGAACCCUGAUCCAGCCAUGCCGCGUGUGUGAAGAAGGCCCUCGGGUUGUAAAGCACUUUCAGUGAGGAAGAACGCCUGGUGGUUAAUACCCAUCAGGAAAGACAUCACUCACAGAAGAAGCACCGGCUAACUCCGUGCCAGCAGCCGCGGUAAUACGGAGGGUGCGAGCGUUAAUCGGAAUUACUGGGCGCAAAGCGCGCGUAGGUGGCUUGAUAAGCCGGUUGUGAAAGCCCCGGGCUCAACCUGUGAACGGCAUCCGGAACUGUCAAGCUAGAGUGCAGGAGAGGAAGGUAGAAUUCCCGGUGUAGCGGUGAAAUGCGUAGAGAUCGGGAGGAAUACCAGUGGCGAAGGCGGCCUUCUGGACUGACACUGACACUGAGGUGCGAAAGCGUGGGUAGCAAACAGGAUUAGAUACCCGAGUAGUC
rnacentral:rRNA from 1 species